rnacentral:rRNA from 1 species
AUUGAACGCUGGCGGCAGGCCUAACACAUGCAAGUCGAACGGUAACAGGAAGAAGCUCGCUUCUUUGCUGACGAGUGGCGGACGGGUGAGUAAUGUCUGGGAAACUGCCUGAUGGAGGGGGAUAACUACUGGAAACGGUAGCUAAUACCGCAUAACGUCGCAAGACCAAAGGGGGGGACCUUCGGGCCUCUUGCCAUCGGAUGUGCCCAGAUGGGAUUAGCUAGUAGGUGGGGUAACGGCUCACCUAGGCGACGAUCCCUAGCUGGUCUGAGAGGAUGACCAGCCACACUGGAACUGAGACACGGUCCAGACUCCUACGGGAGGCAGCAGUGGGGAAUAUUGCACAAAGGGCGCAAGCCUGAUGCAGCCAUGCCGCGUGUAUGAAGAAGGCCUUCGGGUUGUAAAGUACUUUCAGCGGGGAGGAAGGGAGUAAAGUUAAUACCUUUGCUCAUUGACGUUACCCGCAGAAGAAGCACCGGCUAACUCCGUG